CCCCUCACGAACACCGGGAGUUUUAAAAGCUAGCACCCUGCCUGCUCUAUUUCCUUUUCCCUCGCUGUUUCUACUAACUAUGAAAGUGUGAAAAGUCCAGAGAGCAACAUGAGGAAUUGUGUGGCUUAGUGUGUUUCACUCAUAAACUUCUUCUCAGAGAAUAACUCAACCCUCCAUGUCUGACAGUUAGCUGUUAGCUCCGCCAGCCAAACAGGUGAACUGUUAGCGAGCAGCAGCUAGCUCCGUGCAGGUAGCUGGAAAGCUACCGUGAUGAAGACGAUGUCUUUUUUUCCUGAGUUGUUCUUCAGACUGACAGCUGCUGGAUAAAAACAUCAUUGCUGUGGCCAACUGGGAGAAUCAGCAGACCAGUCGACCGUUCCAGAGGGAGUGAGUGAAAUUGUUUUGUUUCUAUAUUUGCUAUAGUAUAAAAACUAAGUAUUGUACUGGAUAAUGUUGUAUUUUGGUACAGGUCUAUACUAGUAAUUCAGCCUUGGUACGUGGGGUGCCAGCUCUACCAGGUGAGCUAUGCUGAACAGGACACUGAACCCCAAGUUGUGCCCAUGGCUACCCACUGCUCUCAUUGAAUGCAGAGGACACAAUUUGUUUCCAUGUAUAUAAAUGCUGUGAAAUGAAAGUAAAGGCUGAAAGGCA